AGCUUAUAUAUUUACAUUCACGCACAUUAGCGUACACACACACACACACACACACACACACACACACACACACACACACACACACACACACACACACACACACACACACACACACACACACACACACACACACACACACACACACAGUUGUGACUGCUGAAAGACGGGAACGUGGCCAAACUCUCAACAUGCAGCACAGCAACAUCCUGAAGCUCCUGCAAACUCUUCAGUUGCAUUUCUGACUCUGCAGCAAAAUUGAGAUGACGGGCGAACAAGGACAAAUCAAAAAGGUUACAGCGGAAGAGGAUUGUGUGAUGCGUUACUCACUGUCUCAUGGGUUGAUCAGUAUACGCUCUCGCAUGAGUCCUGUGAACAGGUGCCGCUCUAUUAUCAGCCUCCACACAGAUGUGAAGCUGCUGGGAAUAAGCAGGAAUAUCUUCACCUCAUGCCUGUCAUUCACCUUCACGUCUGCUUUGUUGAAUGACUGCAAGCUUUGCUCUCGAAACAAGAUUAGAGAUCCAUUACUGAAUCAUGUUGGGUCUAAGCAAACAGAGUCCCGGCUUCCAGCUCAUCCCACAUGGCACGGGCCGCAUCCAUCAUCGCACCAGUUCACCUCCCCUGAUACCCACACAAAAAGCCCACAUCAGUCUUAAUUGGACAUCAGCUAGAAAUCACUGGCAACGUUCAACCUUUGGUUCGCUACGACAACAACAGAUACAAAGGAAACAAACGAGCUGACGAGAGGAAUAAUUGGCUGUCGUUUUCCAUCCCACCAUUUGUUCUCACCAAGCUCUCUCGAGAGGGAAAAAAAAAAAGAAAAAAAUUCACAGGAAGCAAUGUCAGUGGAUCACAAACACAAAAGUGAGAAAUAUGGGAAUUCAAAGCCAUAAUGUGUCAGGUCUUAAUUGGAUGAUGGGAAAGAAUCACUCAAGGUUUCAAAUAAAUUGCUGCAAGUCUUGGAGAAAUGUAAUUAGAAGUGGAGAGUCUUUCUUUACAGAAUAACCCGCUUACAAUCCACAAUAGUCUACUUUAACAACAGAUUUAUUGUUUCACGUAAUAUAAUUUAUCGAAAAGUACAACUGUUACAUUUCUGGACAACUAGCAUCACAAAAUUAAAGGGGUAGUCUGACCACAAAAUGUAUAUUGUGUCAUCAUUUACU
rnacentral:lncRNA from 1 species